CUUUUCUCCAGAGCAGCAUAAGCCAGGCUCUAUGGAAUGUUGGGUGAGCUGCUUGAGGAACUCCAAGGCCUGUCCCACAGUCUUCCAGCCUCCGACUCUCCGGCCCUCAGCGAGGAAGUCCCACUGGUUUUUUUGGUUGGUUUUUUUUUUUCUCAUUCCUGUCUUGGGAGCUUUCCCCAACCAGGAGAGUGAAGAUGGGCGGAGCUGUCACACCAACUGUUAGCCUGCCUUGGCUGAGAGGAGAGGAGGCGAGGAGGGAGCGACCACCCAGCUUUAGUCGUUUUAAAACAGCUCCUGACCCUAGAAGAAGGGAAAUGGAGAUGAAGACCCAAUUGACUUGGUAUGAAGUUUAAAUGCCCCUUCAAGACUUGGGGGUCGAGGACGGUGAGAUUGGCUCAGUGGAUAGAUUCACUUGCCUCUAAGCCUGACAACCUAAGUUAAUAUCCUCUACCCACAUAUGGAAGGAAAAAAAUGAUUUCCAAAAGUUGUCCUCUGACCUCCACACAGAGACCAUGGCCUGUGCACCACCCCCCGAAAAUGUAAUAUAUUUUUUAAAAAGACAUGGGGACUUCCAUUCAGUGUCUCCCAAUGUUUGGGGAUUUCCUUUCCUUAUUUCCUUACUCCCUGUCGGUGCCCUAGAGGAGACAGAGAGAGUCUAACUACGGAGAGGUCAUUCUCUAGGUUGGUUGGUGGAAUAUUCAGGACUCCUGGGAAGGCUCCAACUGG
ensembl:lincRNA Gm3764 predicted gene 3764